rnacentral:rRNA from 1 species
UACGAAGGGUGCAAGCGUUACUCGGAAUUACUGGGCGUAAAGCGUGCGUAGGCGGUUUGUUAAGUCCGUUGUGAAAGCCCUGGGCUCAACCUGGGAAUUGCAGUGGAUACUGGCGAGCUAGAGUGCGGUAGAGGAUGGUGGAAUUCCCGGUGUAGCGGUGAAAUGCGUAGAUAUCGUAAGGAAGACCAGUGGCGAAGGCGGGUCUCUGGACAGUUCCUGACGCUGAGGAGCGAAAGCGUGGGGAGCGAUCCGG